rnacentral:rRNA from 1 species
AGUAACACGUGGGUAACCUGCCCAUCAGAAGGGGAUAACACUUGGAAACAGGUGCUAAUACCGUAUAAUAAUCGAAACCGCAUGGUUUCGGUUUGAAAGGCGCUUUUGCGUCACUGAUGGAUGGACCCGCGGUGCAUUAGCUAGUUGGUGAGGUAACGGCUCACCAAGGCCACGAUGCAUAGCCGACCUGAGAGGGUGAUCGGCCACACUGGGACUGAGACACGGCCCAG